AAUGUCCUGUCAGCAUGUAUAAUGACCAUAAGUAAAGUCAUCAGUUCAUUUGGUCAUUGUCUACUAUUAACAUAACACCUGCAAUGAUUUAUGGGUAAUAUGUGAUAUUUUGACACUCGUCAUUAUCGUCUGCUUGCUCUUUCUCUGGCGUUUGUAUAACAGAAAUAAACAUUAAUUACAUCCGCCAUAUAUUACAAGUUUUAAUUACAGACAUGUAUAUUGUCAAAUGUAAACAUAUGGACAUGCGUAAUGGUUGUUAAUUGAAAGCGUAUUCUUAUAAGGCCCAAUGACAGGCCUAAUGAAAACUUGUAAUGAGUUUCGCCCACUGAUCAUUCGUAACAAAAUGUCAUAAAUGAAAGGUUUAUUUCAGUUUUAUGACCAUGGUCAUAGUAAGUAAUACAUAAGUUAUUGUCCUUGCAGAAUAACUAGAACUUAGUCGGCGGUUUACAACGGAGGUUAUAACACUUUAUACAGAAUGAAGUUCCCAAUAACAAUAUGUUGCUGUUUGCUGACAGUGUGUAUCACCGUGACAAAAGCACAAUAUCCAUUUCAAACCAUUUACCCGGGAGGAUUCCAGUACCCGAUGCAAUUCCAAAGAGGAUUUUCUGGCAGCGGUUUUGGCAGAAGCCGCGGAGGGAGCAUAGGUAGUCAAGAUUUCUUUGGCGGCACAGGUGGAAGAAAUGGGCUGCCAGUAUGGGGAGGGGCUGGAAUUGGAGAAAGGCAUGCUGACGGCAUAGAUAGAAACGGAAGAGGAUGGUACCCAUUCCCAAACCACUAAAUAUCUUGGAAGAAGCUUGACUAUUUUACUUAUAUGAUGGAACGUAUAUGGUGUUUAUAACGAACUAGCUUUUUAUAACCUUUAAUGAAAAUAUGAUUUCGUGAAAAAAAGAAAAGACAUAAUACAAUUUGUGUAAUAAGAUAUUUAAAUUCAUUGCAUUUGCGUCCAUAUAGCAGAAUUACUUGUGAUAACUCAACGAUACUAGUACAUGCUGGAGAGUGUUUUAGACGGACAAGACCUUCAUGAAUAAGGAUAAUUAACUCCAUUAUAACGUAAACAGCCUGUCUGACAUUUGCCUCCCUUGGUUAAAUUUUUGCUGAUAAUGCAUUUUUGUUUAAUAUUUAUUUGCUUUAAUUGAAAUAAAUAACAUUAAAUUCUAA